AUGAGCAACAGGCUCCUCUGCUGUGCUCUUAUCUUUCUCAUCAGAGCAGGCCUCAAAGAAGCUGCAGUCACACAGUCCCCAAGACACAGAAUCCUGAAGACAGAACAGAAAUUAACUCUCCAGUGUUCACAGAGGAUGAAUCAUUAUUCAAUGUACUGGUACCGCCAAGACCCAGGAUUUGGGCUGCGGCUGAUCUAUUACUCAACUGGUACCAGAACUACUAAGCAAGGAGAUGUCCCUGAGGGGUAUCAUGUCUCUCGAGAAGAUCAGGCCGAUUUCCCCCUGACCCUGCAGUCAGCCAGCACCAACCAGACAUCUGUGUACUUCUGCGCCAGCAGUGAAUCCACAGCGCUGCACGGCCACAUCCUCUCCGCACAAAAAGAGAGGCAAACGGAGGAGUGA